UUGCGGUUAAAAAGCUCGUAGUUGGGUUUCUGUUGAGGGCAGCCGGUCCGCCUCCUGGGCGUGUAUCUGUUUGACCUCGGCAUCCUCUCGAAAAACGUUUCUGCGCUUGAUUGCGUGGAGCGGAGUUUGAGACUUUUACUUUGAGGAAAUUAGAGUGUUCACGGCAGGCCGUCGCCUUGAAUAUAUUAGCAUGGAAUAAUAAAAUAAGAUCUUGGUUCUAUUUUGUUGGUUUCUAGAGCUAAGAUAAUGAUUAAUAGGGACAAUUGGGGGCAUUCGUAUUAACGCGUCAGAGGUGGAAUUCUUAGAUUGCGUUACGACGAACUACUGCGAAAGCAUUUGCCAAGGAUGUUUUCAUUGAUCAAGAGUCGAAAGUAAGGGGAUCGAAGACGAUUAGAUACCGUCGUAGUCUUUACCAUAAACUAUGCCAACUAGAGAUGGGGUGGCGUUUUUCACUGACCCAUUCCGCACCUUAUGAAAAAUCCAAAGUUUUUGGGUCCCGGGGGGAGUAUGGU
rnacentral:rRNA from 1 species